GCUUACGGCCACACCACUGUGAGCGCACCCGAUCUCGUCUGAUCUCGGAAGCUUAGCACAGGUCGGGCCUGGUUAGUACUUGGAUGGGAGACCGCCUGGGAAUACCAGGUGCUGUAAGCC
rnacentral:rRNA from 11 species